AUCUCUUUGCCUUUUGGCUUAGAUCAAGUGUAGUAUCUGUUCUUUUCAGUGUAACAACUGGAAUGUCCUCAAUGAGGAUGUUUAAUAUGUUACAAAUCAUAUUUUUGGAACGUCAA
rfam:Lachancea thermotolerans CBS 6340 chromosome H complete sequence.